AGUACCAAUAGGAAAAGAAAUCAAUUGAGAUUCCGUAAGUAGUGGCGAGCGAACGCGGAUUAGCCCUAAAGACUUUAUAAGGAUAAUAGAAUAACCUGGAAAGGUUAACCGUAGAGGGUGAUAGUCCCGUAAAUGAAAUUUUUAUUAAGUUGAUAACGAGUAAGGCGGAACACGAGAAAUUCUGUCCGAAUAUGGGAGGACCAUCUUCCAAGGCUAAAUACUCCUCAAAGACCGAUAGUGAACUAGUACUGUGAAGGAAAGGUGAAAAGCAUUUCGAAUAGAAAGUUGAAAUAGAACCUGAAACCGUACGCCUACAAGCGGUCGGAGCUCUUCGGAGUGACGGCGUGCCUUUUGCAUAAUGAGCCUACGAGUUAAUGUUGCUGGCAAGGUUAAGCACUUCAGGUGCGGAGCCGUAGCGAAAGCGAGUCUGAAUAGGGCGUUAUAGUCAGUAGUAUUAGACGCGAAACCUUGUGAUCUACCCAUGGGCAGGUUGAAGCUUUGGUAACACAAAGUGGAGGACCGAACCGGUUGACGUUGAAAAGUCUUCGGAUGACCUGUGGGUAGGGGUGAAAGGCCAAUCAAACUGGGAAAUAGCUCGUACUCCCCGAAAUGCAUUUAGGUGCAGCGUUUAGUUAAGUAUAUUAGAGGUAGAGCUACUGAUUGGAUGCGGGGGCUUCACCGCCUACCAAUUCCUGACAAACUCCGAAUGCUAAUAUAUGUUUCUAGGCAGUGAGGGCAUGGGUGCUAAGGUCCAUGUCCGAGAGGGAAAGAACCCAGACCAUCAGCUAAGGUCCCCAAAUAUAUGCUAAGUUGAAAAAACGCGGUUGGAUUGCAUAGACAGCUAGGAUGUUAGCUUGGAAGCAGCUAUUCAUUUAACGAGUGCGUAACAGCUCACUAGUCGAGCGAUCCGGCAUGGAUAAUAAUCGGGCAUAAGCAUAUUACCGAAGC
rnacentral:rRNA from 1 species